AGGGCGACCGGGUCGACGGCGCGGGUGACGGUCAGAUAGUCACGGAGGGCGGUACCGUGCCGAUCCUC
rnacentral:sRNA from 1 species